rnacentral:lncRNA from 1 species
AGGGUUGUAAAGUUUAGGAUUUUGGCUACAAUUUUUGUGCAAAUUUUAUAGGGUUUGAAGUUAGGGUGAAUAAGUUAUAGCCGUUUGAAGUUAAGGUGUCAAUUUGAGACCUACUGUUACUCUUUUGAGUUUAAGAGGAGUCUUACGGAAGCUUUUGGAGAUCGGAAGGUGCGGCUGGAAGGGAAACUUCAAGACAUACAUCUUUUGCGAAGGAAAUUUUGUAUUUGGAGUUAAUGUAAAAGAGUAAUAGGGAGUUAAAGACAACGCAUUCAAAUCAAAGGCAGUAAGUGAGUGGUUUUG